rnacentral:rRNA from 1 species
ACGCGAGACUACAGGGUUGAAUGUAAUGACCGCUACUGAAGGGAUUUUCCUCAAGGACACGAAACUAGGUGCUGCAUGGCUGUCGUCGGCUCGUGCCGGGGGGUGUUGGGUUAAGUCCCGCACCCAGCGCAACCCCUACCAUUAGUUGCCAACAGGUAAAGCUGGGGACUCUAAUGGAACUGCCCGCGCAAGCGGAAAGGAAGGUGGGGAUGACGUCAGUCAUCACGGCCCUUAUCUCCUGGGCUGGCACAUGCUACAAUGGUUACUACAGAGAGCAGCUACACAAUAAUGUGAUGCAAAUCUUUAAAAAAAAAUCUCAUUUCGGAUUGGGGUCUGCAACUCGACCUCAUGAAGCUGGAUUCACUAGUAAUCACGCAUCAAAAUGGCGCGGUGAAUACGUUCCCCGGCGMAA